CGGCCUGGCACGGGCGGGCGGGGCGCGCGGGGCGAUCCACGGGAGGCAAGGUUGACAGCCGGCGGAGGGAGGGGACGGGGCCGCGCGGGGGCGCGCGUGCGUCCUUGCGCCGGGUGCACACGCUGGGAAGUUCACACGUGCGCAACCGGCUGGGAUGCGACCAGCCCGUCCUCCGCAGAGCAGAACAAAGCGGUGUGCAAGGCAGCGGGGGCUUGAGCGAGUGCGGCGCUUUCCGGGCGCGAGUGACGGAGUCGCGCUUAGCCGCGCCAAGGGGUCGCUGCAGGCUGCCCCGCCCUUCCGAGGGACCCAGUCCUCGCUGAGACGGCCUGGGCUUGGCCCGACCCUGGAGCCGCCAGGAAAGAUGACUGACCAAGAACACAAGAAAGUCUCCCGCCUUUUAGACGAAGACGUUUGUUAGAAUCUCAGAGUUUUCGCUGCGCUCCGGGGAUUCAGAGAUCAUCCAAGAUAAGGGCGGAUGCCCCAACACCCGCCCGUGGACAGGACACAGCAGGAGUCACUUCGGGGAGACCCUCAGGCUGAGACCCCUUCGAGAGCCAGCCGGCACUGCGGAGCUAGGCCUGCCCUAGACAGCCGUUGGCGCUGGUUCGCCUUCUGCACGCUCACUGGCAGGGACUGGGCUCUGCAGUGGGAGGUAGGACCCGAGGCAGAGCCACAGAGCCCUUCUGAAGAGCAGCUCUGCGCUGUGUCCCUCGGGCCCAUGGAGACUUGGUUCUCACCCGACUGGACAACUGCGAUCUCUUCCAGAUCCAAAUAAAAAACAAGCGGACGCCUGGACGCAGGAUCCGGGCCGGGCGGUACUUCUCCGCGGACAAACAGCUCCCGGGAGGAGCGCCUUCGAUCUCAGUCCGGGGCAAAUAAUCUGGAUAACCUUUAAAUGGAACAUAGUUAAAAUCUUAUUCACUGAAAAGAUUCCAAUCAACAAAAUCUACACAAAAUUGGAAAAGAAUUAUGUUAUCCUUAAGCAACCUUCAGAAUGUCAUCCAUAACCCGACCAUCCCCUAUGUUGGCACCAUUUCUGAGCAGUUGGAGGCUGGGUCCUUGGUUGUCACCCGUGGCCAUGUUCCUAGUCGUGCUGAGCGAUUCCAGGUGGCUCUGCAGUGCGCGGCAGCAUGAAGCCCGGACGAUGUGGCCUUUCACUUCAACCCCCGCUUCAAGCGGGCUGACCACAUUGUAUGCAACACUGACACAUGGAAGGUGGGGAUGGGAGGAGAUCGCCUAUGACAGGUCCUUCCAAAAGGAAAGCUCUUUGAAAUCAUGAUCAUGGUGCUGAAGGACAGAUUCCAGGGUUUACAAAGUACCCAAGCAUCCACUCUAGGACUGACAAACAUAAAUAGAGAAGAUGCACCAAGGUCCGGCAUUUCACAGUUUACCCUGCCCUUCGAAGCAAGGUUGGAUCCCCAUGGGCCCUGGACGAACUGUAGUCAUUAAAGGAGAAGUGAACACGAAGGCCAAAAGCUUUGUUGAUCUAAUAGCAGGAAAACCAAAGGAUAUUGCUCUAAAUUGAACCCAUGCCUGAAUAUUAAAGCACUUGUAAGAAAUUCUUUUCUUAAUGAUGCCUGGGGAGAAGAAGAGAGAAAUAUUACCUUCUUUCCAUUCAGGCCUGGGAUGUACUUUGAGAUGAUAAGUUAUUGUGAUGUUAGAGAUUUCAAGGUUGCCAUCAAUGGAGCACACAGCCUGGAGUACAAUCACAGAUUUCAGAGCUGGGCAGCAUCGACACAGUGGCCGUCAACAGUGAUAUCCACUUACUGGAAGCAAGGAGCUGGUAACCCCCAGGAGUGCCGCAAACCCAAAUACAGAAUGGCUGUGUGAUCUUGGCUGUGUCAAAGUGCACCUCACUGUUCCCGCCUUGUUGAAAUUGCCCUUCUGUAGCAUUAAGUCCCACUGUUGUCCCAUGGCCCUGAGGGGAAAUCUGAGGCGACAGCCACAUACAGCCUUUGAAGCAACGGCUUUUUCCCCACAUGGCCUCUUUUGAAACCACACUCAAGAAGUAUUUAUUAAGUGCCUACUGUAACACAGCCACUAACUGGCAUUGAGCACACUUUCCGUCAGCAGUGACAGGAGCAGGUGCACACACAUGGUGGUGCGGAGGCAGUGUCCCUCUUCUCUGGGAACCGAAGUCCAAGGGCUUCAGUGCUUUGCCCGUGUACACUGCCUGCCUUGUUGGGUCUAUUGGGUUAAGGGUCAUGCUGCUAUUCAGUCACAUAAAAUACUAAUUUCCAGAAGACACCACUCCUUUCCCAGAGACUCCUUUCACAAUGAGCAUCUAUGGUGUCCCAGUCAAGAGGACUGAUGUCAACUGUCAUCUGCCAGUGAAUCUGUAGCACAAUAAACAUAUAGCUCUCCUUGCUAUAAGCUUUACCAAAUAAUUAACAUGAAUAUGACAUCUGAGCUCAGCAGAAAAGUUAAGGCCAAAAGCAAACACCCCCACCCCCAAAACCAACCAACCAACCAAAAAACAACCCCAAACAAUGCACCCAUCGUGUUGACUCAAAAAAAUAAAAAACAAGAAUGAAGUAUGGUUUCUUUUGUAAGCCUUUUUCUGUUCUGUUUUUUCAGCUAUAUAGCUCCUUUUCUAACCACAGUAUAAGUUUAUCUGCUUUACAAAGUGAGGAACUAUAAAAAUAAGCCCUUUCUUUAAGAAAAACUCCCCUUGGAAGCCAAAUGUCUGGUGAAAGCUAGAUGGCCAUUCA
rnacentral:lncRNA from 1 species